UGAAAGUGGCCAAUCUCUUUUGAUCUUGGAAGCUAAGCA
ensembl:rRNA 5S_rRNA 5S ribosomal RNA